rnacentral:tRNA from 1 species
GCACGCAGGAGGUCAGCGGUUCUGGCUAGAGCGUACGGUUCAUACCCGUAAGGUCGGGGGUUCGAUCCCCUCUGCCGCCA